rnacentral:rRNA from 1 species
GUGGGGAAUAUUGGACAAUGGGGGCAACCCUGAUCCAGCCAUGCCGCGUGUGUGAAGAAGGCCUUUUGGUUGUAAAGCACUUUAAGCAGUGAAGAAGACUCUAGGGUUAAUACCCCUAGACGAUGACAUUAGCUGCAGAAUAAGCACCGGCUAACUCUGUGCCAGCAGCCGCGGUAAUACAGAGGGUGCAAGCGUUAAUCGGAAUUACUGGGCGUAAAGCGAGCGUAGGUGGCUUGAUAAGUCAGAUGUGAAAUCCCCGGGCUUAACCUGGGAACUGCAUCUGAUACUGUUGAGCUAGAGUAGGUGAGAGGGAAGUAGAAUUCCAGGUGUAGCGGUGAAAUGCGUAGAGAUCUGGAGGAAUACCGAUGGCGAAGGCAGCUUCCUGGCAUCAUACUGACACUGAGGCUCGAAAGCGUGGGUAGCAA